rnacentral:rRNA from 1 species
GAUGAACGCUGGCGGCGUGCCUAAUACAUGCAAGUCGAGCGAACGGACGAGAAGCUUGCUUCUCUGACGUUAGCGGCGGACGGGUGAGUAACACGUGGAUAACCUACCUAUAAGACUGGGAUAACUUCGGGAAACCGUAGCUAAUACCGGAUAAUAUUUUGAACCGCAUGGUUCAAAAGUGAAAGACGGUCUUGCUGUCACUUAUAGAUGGAUCCGCGCUGCAUUAGCUAGUUGGUAAGGUAACGGCUUACCAAGGCAACGAUGCAUAGCCGACCUGAGAGGGUGAUCGGCCACACUGGAACUGGGACACGGUCCAGACUCCUACGGGAGGCAGCAGUAGGGAAUCUUCCGCAAUGGGCGAAAGCCUGACGGAGCAACGCCGCGUGAGUGAUGAAGGUCUUCGGAUCGUAAAACUCUGUUAUUAGGGAAGAACAUAUGUGUAAGUAACUGUGCACAUCUUGACGGUACCUAAUCAGAAAGCAACGGCUAACUACGUG